rnacentral:rRNA from 1 species
GUGCACGCUGGCGGCAGGCCUCACCCAUGCCAGUCGCACGGCAGCACAAGAGAGCUUGCUCUCUGGGUGGCGAGUGGCGGACGGGUGAGGAAUGCAUCGGAAUCUGCCCAUUUGUGGGGGAUAACCUCGGGAAACCGGGACUAAUACCGCAUACGACCUACGGGUGAAAGCAGGGGAUCUUCGGACCUUGCGCAGAUGGAUGAGCCGAUGCCGGAUUAGCUAGUUGGAGGGGUAAAGGCCCACCAAGGCGACGAUCCGUAGCUGGUCUGAGAGGAUGAUCAGCCACACUGGGACUGAGACACGGCCCAGACUCCUACGGGAGGCAGCAGUGGGGAAUAUUGGACAAUGGGCGCAAGCCUGAUCCAGCCAUGCCGCGUGUGUGAAGAAGGCCUUCGGGUUGUAAAGCACUUUUGUUGGGAAAGAAAAGCAGCCGGUUAAUACCCGGUUGUCAUGACGGUACCCAAAGAAUAAGCACCGGCUAACUUCGUG